ensembl:lncRNA GAS5 growth arrest specific 5
GUCUUUUCGAGGUAGGAGUCGACUCCUGUGAGGUAUGGUGCUGGGUGCAGAUGCAGUGUGGCUCUGGAUAGCACCUUAUGGACAGUUGUGUCCCCAAGGAAGGAUGAGAAUAGCUACUGAAGUAAGUUGAAAAUUCCCUCUCAAAAAGGUUUAAAGCCAUUGGAUGUGCCACAAUGAUGACAGUUUAUUUGCUACUCUUGAGUGCUAGAAUGAUGAGGAUCUUAACCACCAUUAUCUUAACUGAGGCACCCAAAAUGGUGAGUUGGGGAACAUAGAGAGUACACCUAAGUUCACAUGAAGUUGUUUCUUCCCAGGUCCUAAAGAGCAAGCCUAACUCAAGCCAUUGGCACACAGGUGAGACACCUCUAUUUUGUACUUCUCACUUUUAAGGGAUUAGAAAAUAGCCAAAGCAAUGAUGAUUAUCUAUGUUAGUGCUUCUCUCCCCUCUUUUCAAAUGAGAAUUUUGCUCUCAUAUUGAUACUAAGUUUAAUACUGAAGAAAAUGUGAAAACAGAUACUAUGAUGGUUGCAUAGUUCAGCAGAUUUAAUCAUGAAGAGAUGUACUAUCUGUCUGAUGUAUCUGGGGUAGUUGUGGUUUGCUGUUAAUGGUUAAGCAGUGUACCACCAAUCUACCAUUAAAAUAUUUUUUGCUGACAAUUUUGUAUUAAAAUUACAGGCAUUAGACAGAAAGCUGGAAGUUGAAAUGGUGGAGUCCAACUUGCCUGGACCAGCUUAAUGGUUCUGCUCCUGGUAACGUUUUUAUCCAUGGAUGACUUGCUUGGGUAAGGACAUGAAGACAGUUCCUGUCAUACCUUUUAAAGGUAUGGAGAGUCGGCUUGACUACACUGUGUGGAGCAAGUUUUAAAGAAGCAAAGGACUCAGAAUUCAUGAUUGAAGAAAUGCAGGCAGACCUGUUAUCCUAAACUAGGGUUUUUAAUGACCACAACAAGCAAGCAUGCAGCUUACUGCUUGAAAGGGUCUUGCCUCACCCAAGCUAGAGUGCAGUGGCCUUUGAAGCUUACUACAGCCUCAAACUUCUGGGCUCAAGUGAUCCUCAGCCUCCCAGUGGUCUUUGUAGACUGCCUGAUGGAGUCUCAUGGCACAAGAAGAUUAAAACAGUGUCUCCAAUUUUAAUAAAUUUUUGCAAUCCA